UACAGAGGGUGCGAGCGUUAAUCGGAAUUACUGGGCGUAAAGCGCGCGUAGGCGGCUUUGCAAGUCGGGUGUGAAAUCCCCAGGCUUAACCUGGGAACUGCAUUCGAGACUGCAUUGCUAGAGUAUGGGAGAGGGAAGUGGAAUUUCCGGUGUAGCGGUGAAAUGCGUAGAUAUCCGGAGGAACACCGGUGGCGAAGGCGGCUUCCUGGACCGAUUACUGACGCUGAGGCGCGAAAGCUAGGGGAGCAAACGGG
rnacentral:rRNA from 1 species